rnacentral:rRNA from 1 species
UGGGGAAUUUUGGACAAUGGGCGAAAGCCUGAUCCAGCCAUGCCGCGUGAGUGAAGAAGGCCUUCGGGUUGUAAGGCUCUUUUAGUCGGAAAGAAAGAGUCGCAAUGAAUAAUUGUGAUUUAUGACGGUACCGACAGAAAAAGCACCGGCUAACUACGUGCCAGCAGCCGCGGUAAUACGUAGGGUGCGAGCGUUAAUCGGAAUUACUGGGCGUAAAGGGUGCGCAGGCGGUUUUGCAAGUCAGAUGUGAAAGCCCCGGGCUUAACCUGGGAAUUGCGUUUGAAACUACAAGGCUAGAGUGCAGCAGAGGGGAGUGGAAUUCCAUGUGUAGCAGUGAAAUGCGUAGAGAUGUGGAAGAACACCGAUGGCGAAGGCAGCUCCCUGGGUUGACACUGACGCUCA